UACGUAGGGCGCAAGCGUUGUCCGGAAUUGUUGGCGUAAAGAGCUCGUAGGCGGCUUGUCACGUCGGUGAGAAACCAGGGCUAACUCUCGGUGCUUGCUUUCGAUACGGGCAGGACUAGAGGUAUGCAGGGGAGAACGGAAUUCCUGGUGUAGCGGUGAAAUGCGCAGAUAUCAGGAGGAACACCGGUGGCGAAGGCGGUCUCUGGGCAUUACCUGACGCUGAGGAGCGAAAGUGUGGGAGCGAACAGG
rnacentral:rRNA from 1 species